UGCCAAAUCAUCAUUGAGUGAUGGUAUGA
rnacentral:piRNA from 1 species